UACGUAGGGUGCAAGCGUUACUCGGAAUUACUGGGCGUAAAGCGUGCGUAGGUGGUUGUUAAGUCUGUUGUGAAAGCCCCGGCUCAACCUGGAAUGGCAAUGGAUACUGGCAGGCUAGAGUGCGGUAGAGGGUAGUGGAAUUCCCGGUGUAGCGGUGAAAUGCGUAGAGAUCGGGAGGAACACCAGUGGCGAAGGCAGCCCC
rnacentral:rRNA from 1 species